UUUACGUCGAGAAAAACAGAAGUCAGAUAAAAGGUUUGACCAUGGAAGCUUUCCUCCCCAAUUUCAAAGACAAAUUUCCCGCCAUUUUCUCUCUCUCCAUCGCUUCAUCACAAGCAUCUCAACAUCUAUAUCACAUUCGAUCAUCAUGAAUUUGGAAGAAAUUGAAGCUAUUAUCCAUCAAAAAAUCAAGAAUCAUUCUAUCAAAGGUUUUGUUCGGCCAACGUAUUUGGCAUCAAACGUGGAAUUAAAUAUAAAGUCACGGUGGGAUCACUCAAUACCUUUGGUGUUCUGAGGUUUUUUUCUGCUUUCCUCUUCUUGAAACUCUCUCUCCCAGCUGCUCCAUUCAGCUUCUGAUCUGAUAGGAGGGAUUCUCUUCCUUUGGCAUCACGGGCUGCCUUUACAGUGGCUUCUGCUGCCUCUGCUACUGAUGGCGGGCAACUGGCUGUUCUUGAAAUGCCAUAAUUCAUCUCAUAGCCAGGACUGUUAUGGAUUUGCUCAGCAGUCUCAAUCCCCAAGCUACCGACAUUGACCCCACUUUUUGGCAUUCCGAAAUCCAUCCACCCGUUUUCCCCUCCCGGAUCAGCCUUAAUGGGUCGAUUCAGAAGCUCAUUUAGGGUUGGGCCUGUUGUAACUGAGCUCGGACCAUAGUUCAUGUCUGCGCCAUGAAAAUCGUGUGCUUCAGCAGGAAAGAAAGAGAGCAUGCUCAGGUCAUUGAAGCAACUUAGUUGCUGCUGCUGUGUUGUCUGGACUUGGAAGAGCUGCUCUUGUUGCCACUUUAGAACCAUUUUCUGUCUUUCCAAAACACUCAUCUCCAUGCCCUUAACUCCGAUGACAUUCGCCGGUGUGUUUAGGUAGUGCAGCAUCUCUGGUAAAGCUCUAUUCAUUGCCUUACCAAAUCCAAAAAUAGUAAGGGAAAAAUGAUUGCUUUAGUGUUGCUACGAAGUCUUAAUAUGCACUACUAAAACAGUUUGUUGUUCUUUUGCUUUAAUGAAGGUGGGGGGGGGGGGGGGGGGGAAGUUGGUGUGUGCUGCAAGGGAUUAGGCAAGCUUUUGUAAUGCUUUGGUACCUAACACAAGUUCUUCAUGAGCAAGGAUGUGAUGAUAACGCUUCCGUGCUUAACAACAUUUACCAGUUUAGCACUCUCCUAUUUCCCACUCGUCCUGCUAUUUUCUCGUGUGCUUAUUGUGUUACUGAUUCGUAUUUAGGAUGUCUUAGAUUACACUCAAAUACUGUAUUCGUAGAGGCAUGUUGAAGAUAAAAUGGAUAUAUGGUGGGGAGCAAGUCCAGUGAGGAUGAAGGGUACUUCCAUUAUCAAGCUCCUGGGCCCUGAAAAUUCUAGUGUCAAUCUCCCUCCUACCUUUAUUGUUAGACAAUAAUCACAACACAGAGUGCUCCUGUCAUCAAAACUCCGGAGCAGCAUUAUUUUGACUGCGAAUGGCUUUUGGAUGUUUGUGGCCUUCUUGCCGCUGCUGACGUAAACUGGUAAUCCUUUAUAUAUGCACAUGCUUUAUUUUUGAACAGUCGUCGAACAUGAUUAAAAUGAUAACAAUCAAGGUAAAAUUUGCAACUGGAGUUGAUGAUGCAUGCACUUCUUUCGUAAGACAUUGAAAAAUGUUUUAUAGGGGAGCGUUUUGAAGUUUAAAUCAACUCGUGACGUCCAAUAAUUUCGUAGUUCUUAGAGGGUGGAUUGUGCAAUUUGUGCCAUACCUAUAAGGCCUUGGUUUUAGGCGUGGGCAUGACACAACGCAGACACAUCUUUUUAGUCUUGGUUUGACAUUAUCAGUGUCAAAUCUAUUUAGCUAAGUUAAAAUUUAAACAUAAAAUAUUCCAUUAUUCUAGAUAGGUCAUGUUAUAUAUGGAGUGAUAUUAUGUUUAGUUGGAUUGUAACAUGUCAUAGCAACGAUGCAUGUGGGUAAAUUAAGCUGAAAUUAACCAUACGGUUAUGUAGCAGUAAUAGUAUACACCAUUUCAAUAAGAAAGUAAUAUAAUUUGAAAAUGUUUUUAUUUAUGCCAAAAAUAAAUUUUGAGAAAAUCAUUUUUUUUCUCUCAUUUUUAUAGACCGGUAAAUAUAAGGGUGCGUUUUAUUCACCUGAUUUUCACUUAUUUGAACAUAUUAGAACUUAUUAAAACUUAUUUUAGUUAUAUGUGUUUGGAUAACCCUUAUUUUUCAUGAAAUGAUCUUAAUUUAACUGAAAUAUUUCUAAAAUAAGUGGAAACAAGGUGAUCAGAACAGGGCCUAAGCGACUUUAAUGUCCUAAACUAGGCUUCUGAUUGUUUUGGAUAGUGUAGAUUUUCCGAUUGUUGCAUAUUUAGCUAGACUUCCAUUAUGGAAGUUCCAUAUAGACUCCUAGUAACUCCAAAAAUUUGACCUAUUCUAUUUUUGUCUUUCUUUGUAGUUUGCUAAAGUAAUUCUACGCAAUUAUACUUUUUUCGUCUUUUAAUAUAGUACUUGGUCAACAUGUAACAUAUGGACUUUUAAGUAUAUUACCGCACAAUGACCAAUUAUAUAUUUUAUUAUCUCUUAGUAAAACUCUAGUACUAAUUGAAAAUAUACAUUGAUAGUUUGAGAGUAUUGAGACCUAAACUUACCAACACUAUACAUAAUAACACUAAUUUUGGUUGGUUUUUAAAAUAGGAAUGAAAUAGAAAUGUAACAAAAAAACAGAUAAAAAUAAAAAGUGUAACCAAUAAAAAAACGGAGAGAUUAGUAAAAGUCAAUGUAUGAAUAGUGCAUGUAUAUAAAAACGUAAGAAGUGACUCAUACUCUGCAAGUGUCUGCAAGUGAUCGCGAAUAAAUUUAGUUGUUUAAGCGAUCAAUUUUUAAUCAAUUGACCAUACUUUGUGGGUUUCCUUCUUUCAUGGCCUCUUGUUACCAGAAAAACAUGGAGCAACUGUCGUCUGAUUCUUAAAAUUAUCCCUGCUUUUGUUUUCUAUGUUAUCAUCAUCUUCAUCCUAUAAUUACAUCAAGAUUACAUUCCCAAGUUUCUUAACGCUAUCAAUUGAAACGUCAUUAAUUAUUAAUGGAGUCAGGACAUGCUAAGAAUUCUCUUACGCAAGAAUGGCCUUUUCAAUAAUUUAAUAGGGGAAGGGUAAUAGAUCAUCAUACACUCCAGCCAAAAAAAAAAAAAAAAAAGUCAUACACGGAUGCACAUCUAUAUUUAAGAUACUUCAUACUUCGUAUCAGUAACACAUGCUUGGCUAUUACCAGUUGACAUAAGAUAAAUUGUUAGACUAUGUACAUCCUUGACCUUCGGUCAAAUGAAAAAUAAUUUCUCUCUCAUCCUUUUCCUUCUUCCACCUCAUUUUCCACCCCAUCUUCCACUAACUUGACAUACCUCUUACUUAAAUCUUUUAUUUUUCUUGUACAAUCUAGACUCAAGGUCAUUAAUUCCCCUUACCUACUUUUUUUAUUUUUAUGUAUUUAAAUUCACCUUCAAAUAAAUUAUUAAUUUUAACAAAAAAAAAAAUAUGAAAUUAAAUUAACAUACAUAUAAAUAAAGAAGAACACACGUGUCAUUGUAAAAAAAUUAUCAUGCAAAAUUUUCUUAAAUAAAAUAAUAUGCAUUGCACGGCAGCACCACAUGAGCAGAGUAAACCCAUAUUUAUUGGUUAAUCCGUACAUUACAAAAUGAUAUCCUACAAAUAUACCUAAAAUUAUACUCCGUAUGCAAAACAUGAAGCAACAAGUGCCCUAGAACAUAUUAGGUGCACCCGGGUGCACGGUGCACUCUCUCACAUUUUCCCCUUACAUGUAAGGAGAAAAUAUGAGAGAGACCACCCACGGGCAUAAAAAUAUCCUUGAGUACACGGUGAUUCCGGAUGCACCUAUUAAUUUUCUACAAGUGCCCCACAUCCAUGCAAGUUGCGCUUAAUUCGGCCUCACAUCUCAUUUUUAUUAACUUGACCAUGGGUCAAAUAUAAUCAUUUUGUCCUGUCAAUUAUUACUUGACACAAACUACAUGUCAAUGUUAUGUGUGCUCUUAGCCCCUCUUGUAGGAAGGUCCUUGUCGAUAUUAUCUACGGAUCAGAGUAACUGAUACCAACUCAACUUGGUAAUUAAGCAAGAUUAUUGACAUUUUUCUAUGACCGUAGAGCGUUUCACUCGUCUGAAUUCUGCAUCCAUACAACAUUUGUAACUUGGUAACAUGUCAAAUUUCCAAAUUACAACCUUUCUAAUCUAACAUUGGAAAGCAAAUUAAAAAAUAAAUAAAAAUGCAUGAGCGUCUAGCCUUCUAAGUCCGGAUCCUCUAG